UACGGAGGGAGCUAGCGUUGUUCGGAAUUACUGGGCGUAAAGAGUGUGUAGGUGGUGUCGUAAGUUUGGUGUGAAAUCUCCCGGCUUAACUGGGAGGGUGCGCCGAAGACUGCGAUGCUGGAGUAUGGGAGAGGAAAGCGGAAUUCCUGGUGUAGCGGUGAAAUGCGUAGAUAUCAGGAGGAACACCGAUGGCGAAGGCAGGUCUCUGGGCCACUACUGACGCUGAGAAGCGAAAGCAUGGGGAGCGAACAGG
rnacentral:rRNA from 1 species